rnacentral:tRNA from 2 species
UCCGAAGUAGCUCAGUUGGUAGUAGCAUCUGACUGUUAAUCAGAGGGUCGUAGGUUCGAGUCCUACCUUCGGAGCCA